GUUUUGCUGUGAUGAAUUAUGAAAUACACAUGUCAGGCUUCAGAGGCGUUUUGUGCGCCAAUGAGAAGAAAAUUUCAUUGUUCUGAGCAAAAU